rnacentral:rRNA from 1 species
CAGCCCCACUGGAACUGAGACACGGUCCAGACUCCUACGGGAGGCAGCAGUGGGGAAUAUUGCACAAUGGGCGCAAGCCUGAUGCAGCCAUGCCGCGUGUAUGAAGAAGGCCUUCGGGUUGUAAAGUCUUUCAGCGGGGAGGAAGGCGAUAAGGUUAAUAACCCGUCGAUUGACGUUCCCCGCAGAAGAAGCACCGGCUAACUCCGUGCCAGCAGCCGCGGUAAUACGGAGGGUGCAAGCGUUAAUCGGAAUUACUGGGCGUAAAGCGCACGCAGGCGGUCUGUUAAGUCAGAUGUGAAAUCCCCGGGCUUAACCUGGGAACUGCAUUUGAAACUGGCAGGCUUGAGUCUCGUAGAGGGGGGUAGAAUUCCAGGUGUAGCGGUGAAAUGCGUAGAGAUCUGGAGGAAUACCGGUGGCGAAGGCGGCCCCCUGGACGAAGACUGACGCUCAGGUGCGAAAGCGUGGGGAGCAAA